UUAUGGAAUAUGAGCCUUUCCUUCAUGAGGCAAAUGGAGAGAAUAUCAAAGAACCAAAUGGCUUUAUGGAGGUGUUGAACAAAACAAUGCACAAUUUGGUGUCUAAGGUGGUCCGACGUUAUAGGAAAUCAUCUGUAGCUAAAUAUGCAACUACAGACGCCAAAUUCCAAGGGAAUCCAAUCUACAGAUUUGCACAGUGCACUCCAGAUAUCUCAGCAGAUGAUUG
rnacentral:misc_RNA from 1 species